rnacentral:rRNA from 1 species
GACGAACGCUGGCGGCGUGCUUAACACAUGCAAGUCGAACGGAAAGGCCUGCUUUCCCUUGUGGAUUGCGGGUACUCGAGUGGCGAACGGGUGAGUAACACGUGAGUGAUCUGCCCCCAACUUGGGUAUAAGCCUGGGAAACUGGGUCUAAUUCCCGAUAGGACUGCAGGGUGGUGCCUGUGGUGGAAAACGAUUUUCUAGUGGUUGGGGAUGAGCUCGCGGCCUAUCAGCUUGUUGGUGGGGUAAUGGCCUACCAAGGCGGCGACGGGUAGCCGGCCUGAGAGGGUGGACGGCCACAUUGGGACUGAGAUACGGCCCUGACUCCUACGGGAGGCAGCAGUGGGGAAUAUUACACAAUGGGCGGAAGCCUGAUGCAGCGACGCCGCGUGGGGGAUGACGGCCUUCGGGUUGUAAACUCCUUUCGACCGCGAGGAAGCCACCUGGUUGGAAGGGUGGUGACGGUAGUGGUAGAAGAAGCACCGGCUAACUACGUG